AACUUCUUUGACAGAAUUCUUCGGAAGGAAGUUGAUUAAGUUUAGUGGCGGACGGGUGAGUAACGCGUGAGUAACCUGCCUUUGAGAGGGGAAUAACUUCCCGAAAGGGAUGCUAAUACCGCAUGAAGCAUAUUUAUCGCAUGGUAGAUAUGCCAAAGAUUUAUCGCUCAAAGAUGGACUCGCGUCCGAUUAGCCAGUUGGCGGGGUAACGGCCCACCAAAGCGACGAUCGGUAGCCGGACUGAGAGGUUGAACGGCCACAUUGGGACUGAGACACGGCCCAGACUCCUACGGGAGGCAGCAGUGGGGGAUAUUGCGCAAUGGGGGAAACCCUGACGCAGCAACGCCGCGUGAAGGAUGAAGGUUUUCGGAUUGUAAACUUCUUUUAUUUAGGACGAAGAAUGACGGUACUAAAUGAAUAAGCUCCGGCUAACUACGUGCCAGCAGCCGCGGUAAUACGUAGGGAGCAAGCGUUAUCCGGAUUUACUGGGUGUAAAGGGUGCGUAGGCGGCUUGGUAAGUCAGAUGUGAAAUGUAUGGGCUCAACCCAUGCACUGCAUUUGAAACUAUUGAGCUUGAGUGAAGUAGAGGUAGGCGGAAUUNCCUGUGUAGCGGUGAAAUGCGUAGAGAUAGGGAGGAACACCAGUGGCGAAGGC
rnacentral:rRNA from 1 species